GUACAAUAGGAAAAAAAACAAAAUAGCAAAAAUUAAAAUAAUACAUUUUAAGUAAAAAAUUCAGCAACAAGUGUUUUACUAAAUAAAACAGGCAAGAGACAGAUAAAAUACAUUCAAUUGAGGAUUUCAGUACUGGCUUAUACACAAUUGAGUAAUAUGUGUAAGUAAAAUGUUUUUAAAAUGACUACCUAUAAAGAAAUUAAUAAAAUAUAUAUACUGAAAAAUUGGAUUUUCUUUGUACAAAUAUUGAAUACAGCACCAAUACAAUAAAGAAAAUCAGAAUUGCAGAUAAUUCUUAUAUAUUUCUCAACAGAUAAAUGCAAAAAUAGUCUACAUACUGUGGACUCAUUUAUAUUUGUGGGUACCAAUUUUGGUAGAUCAUGGAAGUCUUACAUGUUCGUGGAUCUUUAAAUUCUUGGUUUAGCAGAAAUCUGCAUACAAUCCUAUGAAAAAUCUGUUAUUUGUUUAAAAUACAAUUUUGUGGUAUCCAACAAAUUAUAAUGAACCCACAGUAGUCUAUUGAAAUUCAUUAAUGAUUCAUAACUCUUAAUAUUAUAUUUUAUUGAAAGUCUUAACAGAACCAGUCCCCAUUGGUUCAUCAAAUUUUUGAUUUCUACAAUAUGCCACAUCUCUAAUGAUUUUUCUCUUAGGGCUAUUCCAGAAAAAAAUGUAUGGGAGGGUUGGAAGGCACAUUAUAUUAAUAAUACAUGGGUGAUGGUAUCAGAGCAACUUUUCAUACUAUAAUGCACUAUAAUUCUCAAUUACAAUUGUCUGGGUGGCGGGUGCUGACAAAAACCGCCUUCCAACCCUCCCAUACAUCUUUUUCUGGAAUAGCCCUUAAUUACUUCUAAAAGGAGGUAAUAUAACAAUUGCAUGUGAUGAUCAAAGCACUUACAAAGUGACAGUAACCUAACAACAAAAAUACCCAUAAGACAUCUAGAGGUCAGUAUAUGCUAUAACAAUAGACAAAGGUAUAUAUAAUACAUCCAGCACUACAUUAUUUCAAAACUAUGUCAUUAUUUCUAUUUAUAAAUCUUGUUAAACCACUCGCUGAUAUAGUAACUCGAAGGAAUUUAAAUACUACAGUUGAUUCAAUUUCGCCUUCUGAAUGCCCACUUACAAAAAUUAUUUAUGAAAAAAAAAAAUUGUCCUGAAAGUUAUUUAGCACCUCUUGAUUCAGGUAGAUAAUGGAUUUCAGUUUGGCAGUGAAAUAUGACUGGUAUAGAAUAGUCAAAUCAUAAAAUUAUGAGAUCAGAGGAAAGUUUAUUCCCUGAUCAUGUCAAUAACACUAUAUAAUAAUAAGCACCAGUAAAUGAACAGGUUUUUAAUAAUAUAAAUGCUGUUUUGAUAUCCUUUGUAGAUGCCAUUGUAUCCGCCCUACUUGAUGUUUUUUUCAAUUGCAUAUUCUAAAAACUCAAUUAGAAAUUGAUUAUGUGUAAUUGCAAUCUACUUGUACAAUCUAUUCAUGUAUAACUAGUAACUACCUUGAAGUCAAUAAAAAAAACCUAGCGUUUAUGAUAAUGAGUAUCAAUCAAUUUAAGACAAACUUUUUAGAGACAA
rnacentral:lncRNA from 1 species